rnacentral:lncRNA from 1 species
UUUAAAGAAAUCACUUAGUGGCUGCAGCUUGGGGCAUAUUUCUGGUGUAGACGCCUCUGCUUUCUCUUGAUCAGUUUUCCCAUGUGAGGGCAGACUGAAGAAUCCCACAGAAACAAGAUGUUCUGCUGCAGGCAAGUAGAGCACAUACAACAGUUACAACUGUGCUCCCCUGGAAAGAUAAUCCACAAAUACCGGACACUGUUUAUUAGAGCCACAUACACAUGGAACCAU